CUUAAAUUGAAGAGUUUGAUCAUGGCUCAGAUUGAACGCUGGCGGCAGGCCUAACACAUGCAAGUCGAGCGGAAACGAGUUAUCUGAACCUUCGGGGGACGAUAACGGCGUCGAGCGGCGGACGGGUGAGUAAUGCCUAGGAAAUUGCCCUGU
rnacentral:rRNA from 1 species